rnacentral:rRNA from 1 species
AUAAGACGAGAAGACCCUAUGGAGCUUUAGACACCAGGCAGAUCACGUCAAGUAACCUUAAAUUAAUAAGUGGAAACGCAGUGACCCCUAGCCCAUAUGUCUUUGGUUGGGGCGACCGCGG